rnacentral:rRNA from 1 species
UGGGGAAUUUUGGACAAUGGGGGAAACCCUGAUCCAGCCAUCCCGCGUGUGCGAUGAAGGCCUUCGGGUUGUAAAGCACUUUUGGCAGGAAAGAAACGUCAUGGGUUAAUACCCCGUGAAACUGACGGUACCUGCAGAAUAAGCACCGGCUAACUACGUGCCAGCAGCCGCGGUAAUACGUAGGGUGCAAGCGUUAAUCGGAAUUACUGGGCGUAAAGCGUGCGCAGGCGGUUCGGAAAGAAAGAUGUGAAAUCCCAGAGCUCAACUUUGGAACUGCAUUUUUAACUACCGGGCUAGGGUGUGUCAGAGGGAGGUGGAAUUCCGCGUGUAGCAGUGAAAUGCGUAGAUAUGCGGAGGAACACCGAUGGCGAAGGCAGACUCCUGGGAUAACACUGACGCUCAUGCACGAAAGCGUGGGGAGCAAACAGG